UUUUUUUGUUAUGGUUUUGUUACAUUCUUUGACUAGUGUUUAAAUUGAGAUAGAAGCAAGGGCCAGUAGUUAAUAAAAACUACUUUUCCUAUUUUCUUAUAGUGCACAGAGUUGGAGAGUGGAGGUCAGGCCUCUCAGUUAAGUGAGAGCGCCCUAAAAUUCACUAAUGAUCCUUCCGCAGGUUCACCUACGGAAA
rnacentral:misc_RNA from 1 species